rfam:Citrus sinensis cultivar Ridge Pineapple sweet orange scaffold00887_contig_1, whole genome shotgun sequence.
UAUCCAUGAUGUGGACACUUCAAGAGUAGCCCAUUGAAUUGCUCCCAUGUUUCGAAAAACUAAUCGUCUUCUCUUCGGGUAAACUCUGAGAUUUUCCUGUGAAU